CAUGGAGGGUGAGAAUCCCGUUCGGUUGAUCAGUUGCGUAUACGAUACGCUUUCAAAGAGUCAAGUUGUUUGGGAUUGCAGCUUAAAAUGGGAGGUAAAUUUCUCCUAAGGCUAAAUAUUGGCGAGAGACCGAUAGCGAACAAGUGCCGCGAGGGAAAGAUGAAAAGCAUUUUGAAAAGAAAGUCAAAUAGCACGUGAAAUUGUUGAAAGGGAAACGAUUGAAGUCAGUCGUACCGAUGGGCAUUCAACUCCUCGGGUGCGAUUAUGUGGGUGUUGGGGAGCUUAACGGCCCUCGCGUUUGCGUAUUUGUGCCCUUCGGGUGUACUUGCCCGUAUGGUAGGUCAGCAUCAAUUUUGGACAUCAUAAAAUGACGGGGGGAAAGUAGCUUCGAUCUCGUAUUGAAGUGUUAUAGCCCCUGGUAGAUGUGAUGACCGGGAUUGAGGAUUGCAACGAACCCCUCGGGGCCACCUGUCUGGCCUCUGUUGGUCGCUCUGGUGCCGAAAGCUCGCUUACGGUCAUCGGAGUUGAUCGUCAAAAGGUUAGAACGGGUUGAAUUCGUUAAGGAUGUUGACGUAAUGG
rnacentral:rRNA from 1 species